rnacentral:lncRNA from 1 species
AAAUAAUCCUAAUUUAUUAAAAUAUUUGAAUUAUGCUUAUUGUUUUUUUUCUUCAGUUUUUUUCUCCAAAGGAAAUAAUAAGGUUAGAUAUUUUUUUAUUUUUUUUUUACAAUAUAUUCAUGUUUAAUAUGCAUCUCUAACAUGUUUAAGAAUCCAACUGAUUGACAUUUAGGACACAAGAAAUACCAUUUUAAAUGUUUUGAUCCAUUUGAGUUUGCUUAAGGCAGCUAUGGUGUCUUCUUCAAUCUAUGAUUUUGAAAUAGCAAUUAAAAAUUGGUCUACAUCUUUAUUAAAAUAUGAAAAUUUCCAGAGAGGUAUAUAAUUCAUGUGUAAGACCUUCCAUAUUAAUAUGGAAGAUUAUGUGUUUUAUCAUAUUAUAUAUACCCUCCCCAAUCUACAUUUUUUUAUAGAACUAUGUAUGUUAAAAUUUUUUAUACAUGUACUUAAAUGGAAAUUAAAAAUAUGUGUACUCGGCAUCUUACUGACAAAUUGACAAUAACAAUCAUUAUGUUUAUUGAAGGCCUUCAAUGUAUAGUAUCUGUUAGGAUUGUGUAAUGUGAUUUUUAGAUAUUUUUUUUUUUUAAAUUCUGUUUUUGUAUUGUUGCCUCUUUCAUUACCAUCUCCUUGUUUUUUCUCUUUGUUAAUUUUAUAGUGUUAAAUGUUCUCCAUCUAUGAAAUUUUUAUGUGGUAUUGAUUUUGAAAGAGGUGUUUUUUUAAAGUUUUUUUUUAUAUACAUGCAUCGAUUUUUAAGAACUGCUGAACUGUACUUGUAAUCAACAUGUAAUAUCUCUUUUUUUAGCUCACCUGGCCUGAAGGGCCAAGUGAGCUUUUCUCAUCACUUGGCGUCCGUCCUCUGUCAUUCGUCGUCGUCGUUUACUUUAGAGAGAACUUUCUAGAGAACCACUCAAUGGAAUGAAACCAAACAUGGCAUGAAUGCUCCUUAUGAGGUGCUGACCAAGUGUUGUUACUUUGUAGCCGAUCCAUCAUCCAAGAUGGCCGCCAGCAGGGGACUUAGUUUAACAUAGGACCCUACGGGAAAUGCAUACAAAUGACUUCUUCUAGAGAACCACUGAAUGGAAUGAAACCAAACAUGGCAUGAAUUUUCCUUAUGAGGUGCUGACCAAGUGUUGUUACUUUGUAGCGGAUCCAUCAUCCAAGAUGGCCGCCAGCGGGGGACUUAGUUUAACAUAAGACCCUAUGGGAAAUGCAUACAAAUGACUUCUUCUAGAGAACCACUGAAGGGAAUGAAACCAAACAUGGCAUAAAUGUUCCUUAUGAGGUGCUGACCAAGUGUUGUUACUUUGUAGCUGAUCCAUGAUCCAAGAUGGCCUCCAGCGGGGGGACUUAGUUUAACAUAGGACCCUAUGGAAAAUGUAUACAAAUGACAUCUUUUAGAGAACCACUGAAUGGAAUGAAACCAAACAUAGCAUGAAUGUUCCUUAUGAGAUGCUGAGCAAGUGUUGUUACUUUGUCUCCGAUCCAUCAUCCAAGAUAGCUGCCAGCAGGGGGCUUAGUUUAACAUAGGACCCUAUGGGAAAUGCAUACAAAAGUCUUCUUCUAUAGAACCACGGAAUUGAAUGAAAUCAAACAUAGCAUGAAUAGUCCUUUCUUUAUGAGGUGCUGGCCAAGUGUUGUUACUUUGUAGCCAAAUUUUAUCUGUUUUUAUAUGAUUUCAAAAACCCAAGUAGAGUCGGGUGAGCGAUACAGGCUCUUGAGAGCCUCUAGUUUAUAUGUAUCUUCCGUAUUCCCUUUGAUGGACCUAAAUAAAACAGAGAAGUUAUUCAAACACACAAAAUAUUUAUAACAUAGGACUGAAUUUACAUGAAUGGCAUAAAGGUAGUAUAGUGCAUCCACAUAAGUAUCCAGCACUUUCAUGUUUCACUGUUUAUUUGGAAAAUAUUACUAUAUCUGUAUUUUGCAAAACCUUUCAGAUUUGUUGGCCUUCAAUGCUUGUCAACCUUCUUUGUUAUUUUGGCUUUUGUUUGAAUUAAGUGUCACUGAUGAGUCUUUUGAAGAUGAAACAUGAGUGUGGCAAACAAAUUUUUAUAUUGUUUUCUAUGAUGAUUUUAUUUCAUAUACAACUCCAUUUGUAAAAAAUUUUUUGUAAGAUUUAAAAUCAGUUGGUCAUCUGAAUAAAUUAAAACCAAUUAAUUACAAAAAAAAUAUAUAAAUAAAUAAAUGAACACCUUGCGUAAAACGUCUUUUCACUGUAAAUUGAAAUAAAAUUUUCAAGUGAACAAACCUUGUUAUGUGGUAUGUCUCUUUGUGUUUUAUAUAAGAAUGUAUGAUGAACUAUUGAUGUCUAUGUGUGUGUAAUAACAUGUAUUUUAUUGAUAAGAAUCUCAUUGAAUAAGAUCUUGUUAGGUUUUUUUUCAUUUGUUUUUUUGUAUUUUUAAAUAUUUUUUUUUUUUUUUUUACAUUAACACCGACUUAAUGUUAUAAGCAUUUCAUAAUGUAGUUAUUAAUUUUACAUUCAAUUUAUAUUGUGCAAUAAACUCCUUAUUAAAUCUUGUAGUUUGCUGUUUCAUAAUUGCCUGCUUGUUGUAGUACCAUAAGGUCAUGAACAAAAUUAUGUUAUAUUCAUGAAGUACCAGAUGAGCCAUUCUUAAACUGAAAAUUUU